UUACCCCGCAAGGGGUAACUGAGUGGCGAACGGGUGGGUAACACGUGGGUGACCUACCUUCGAAUGGGGGAUAACGUCCCGAAAGGGACGCUAAUACCGCAUAACAUCCCGUCCUUGAACGGAUGGAGAUCAAAGCCGGGGAUCGCAAGACCUGGCGUUUGAAGAGGGGCCCGCGUCCGAUUAGCUAGUUGGUGAGGUAAUGGCUCACCAAGGCAACGAUCGGUAGCCGGCCUGAGAGGGCGGACGGCCACACUGGGACUGAGACACGGCCCAGACUCCUACGGGAGGCAGCAGUGGGGAAUUGUUCGCAAUGGGCGCAAGCCUGACGACGCAACGCCGCGUGGAGGACGAAGGUCUUCGGAUUGUAAACUCCUGUUGCCCGGGACGAAUGGCUCCAACCUAAUACGUUGGAGCGUGACGGUACCGGGUGAGGAAGCCCCGGCUAACUCUGUGCCAGCAGCCGCGGUAAUACAGAGGGGGCAAGCGUUGUUCGGAAUUACUGGGCGUAAAGGGCGCGUAGGCGGCCUUCUAAGUCGGACGUGAAAUCCCCGGGCUCAACCCGGGAACUGCGUCCGAGACUGGAAGGCUCGAAUCCGGGAGAGGGAUGUGGAAUUCCAGGUGUAGCGGUGAAAUGCGUAGAUAUCUGGAGGAACACCGGUGGCGAAGGCGGCAUCCUGGACCGGUAUUGACGCUGAGGCGCGAAAGCC
rnacentral:rRNA from 1 species